rnacentral:rRNA from 1 species
GACGAACGCUGGCGGCGUGCUUAACACAUGCAAGUCGAGCGGACAGGCCCUGCUCUUGUGGGUCUCUCGAUUGGCGAACGGGUGAGUAACACGUGAGUAACCUGCCCUUGUCUUUGGGAUAACUUCAGGGGACUGGGGCUCAUACCGGGGAGGAGCUCCUGCUGCGUGGUGGGGGUUGGAGAGUUUCGGCGGUUGGGGAUGGACUCGCGGCUUAUCAGCUUGUUGGUGGGGUAGUGGCUUACCAAGGCUUUGACGGGUAGCCGGCCUGAGAGGGUGACCGGCCACAUUGGGACUGAGAUACGGCCCAGACUCCUACGGGAGGCAGCAGUGGGGAAUAUUGCACAAUGGGCGGAAGCCUGAUGCAGCAACGCCGCGUGCGGGAUGACGGCCUUCGGGUUGUAAACCGCUUUCGCCUGUGACGAAGCGUGAGUGACGGUAAUGGGUAAAGAAGCACCGGCUAACUACGUG